ensembl:lncRNA
UGCAAAGGCCCUGAGGCUGAAACAAGCUUGGAAUUUUCAAGGCACCCAAAGAAGGCUUUUCUAUGCUGUAGUGUCCCUAAAUGGGGAUGAUGAUGUGCCAAUGACAUCCCAAGAUUACUAUAAGGAUUAAACAAAAUAACUUAUACUCAAGUCUUGUUAGACCCAAAACUUAUAAAAAUUCGAGAGCCCUCUUUGAGGAAAAAAAAAUUUAAAAAUGAGCUGUGUAGCUUUAGAAGGGAUGUGAAUGGGGGACCCAGUAAAGCCACUUCUGCUCAUUGACAAAUGUUAGCUUUUAUAAUUUCCACGAACUUGGGCUUCUCCAGGUUUCUCCGUGAACUCAGAGCUCUCCCGAGGUGGGCAGGGAGGCGGUGAUGCGGGCUGGCCAGUGUCCCCGUCCCCAGGGCCCUGGAACACGAACAGAAGCUCGGGCACAGAAAGCGUCCUGGCCCGUGCAUUGCGUGACAGCUCCCGAGUGAAUCAUGCUGCUAUUCUGGGGCCGCUGCUCUCCAGGGCGGGGAGCAGGAUGGCGAGGGCUGUGUUUGGAGUCGCCUCUGAGGCCGCAGAUCCGGCAGCGAAUGACAGCCCGAAGGGAUCAACGUGGGUGACCAGCUUCUCUGCAGAGCGAACCUCCAGGGUGAAAGUUCUCCCAAGAUCCAAAAAAAAUCAAAUGGCUGGAGCUCAGGAAGCUUAGCAUGGGGGCAAGAGGUGGGCGAGAUGGAAGGAGGGCAGAUUGGAAUUCUGGGGUCUGUAGAACGCGGCAGUUUUAUUUUAUAAGAAUUUUCCCCACGGGAGCGGGAAUUUACCACAGCCUGGGUUUCCCUCUCCACGGGAGGAAGUUCCAUUCUGGGUUCUGAGAAAUUCCUAAAGAAUAUUUCGCUGAGUGCUCCUCACCCCAGCUGUCCUGCCAAGACAGAAUCUGAGUCCUGAUUAGCGGAGAAAGGGGGCGGGGGACGAAGUUCCAGAGAGUUCUGUUCCAUCAAUGACUUUGUCCAGAGUGGAGCGCCGUGCCAGCUGAUGGCAAUUUUUAUCGGAUAAUGAUUCCUCAGAGAGCUCCAGGGCCCAGCCGGGGGCCUUGUCAUCCACCCCCCUCCCGGGAGAUCUCAGCCAAUCUCAGGGCUAUAAAUAGCAUCUCCGACGACUCCCGCAUUUCUAUCUUCAGCUCCCAUCUCGCUCCCAAGUUUCAGGCUGGUCUGCCCAGCUGCCUCCUUGCUGUCUCCGCUUGGAUGGAGGAUGGACUUCCCAGCGUGUCCAGAUCGGAGCUCCGAUCUUCUUCCCCUGGGCAGGCCUCCCUGGACUUCCCUCUCAUCAAUGGCCUCCCUCCUCCUGGGCUGGUUCAGGCUGGAAGCUCUGGAAGCGUGCAUGACCCCACCCACUCUAGCCUAUCGGCAAAUUCCGUCGGCUGGACAUAGACCGCUCGGCGACUCCCCGGCCAUCUCCUACUUUGACUGGGAUGGGGAAAGGAGUGUGGGCUCCUGGAGUUGCUAGGUGGCCAGACAUCGUGGGAGGGGACCCCCAGCCAGGGCUGCCAGGCCACAUCCUAUGAGCAGUGCGGGGUUGGGGAGGGGGAUGGGAGGAGAACAGGCUGUAUUCGGGGACCACUAGGUGAGCCAGUGAGGACAUCCAUGAGGACAGCUAUUAGUAGGUUAGUGCCCUUCCCAAGGUUCAAGGCAGCACACGCUGUCCCCCAAUUUGGGAUCACGUGGAUGAACCCCAGUCACAACUGGGAUCAAAUUUCCUGACAGCUGGGUAGGAUGGAGGCUUGGAGUCUGAAGGAGUUGAUUGCAAUGCAGUGGUUCUCAACCAGGGCCAAUCGUGCCCCAGGGGCCAUUUGGCAAUGCUGGAGACAUUUUUGGUUGUCACAAUUCGGGGGAGGGUGUGCUAUAGAGUCUAGGAUGCUGCCGAACAUCCUACAACAUACAGGGCGGCUCCCCACAAUUAUUUGGCCCCACGGGUACAUACAACCAAGGUUGGGAAGCCCUGAUCUCCGGAAAUGUUAAAGGUAUUUCGUGCACACCUGAGCUGGGUUCAGGCUGGAGAGUAAAACCGAGUACAUAACAAGCUGAUUUAAAUUGACCACAGCACAUCAUGUGACACCCAACACCAAGAGGAGGCUGCGAGGGGCACUGAGGGAGAUGAAAGAUGGAGCGAACUCGGCGACACCCCUCCCGUUGAAAGCUGAAGAAAUCCCUGCGAUGCCGACUCGUGCUUGUUCCAUCCAUCCUCUCCCGCUCUGCCCUGAUGGCUUGCCCAAGCACCAUUGGCUCCAAUGCUAACUAACACCUUCCGAGCCGCCAGUCUUGCUGUAUUGUAUUCCCCACCCAGCAGCCAGAGGCACCCUUAAAAACCCGCUCCUCCACAACCCUGAUGGACACGCUCCAGAGAUCCCGCAGCAUGUGAAAUCCACGUCCCGGUGGCACCAGGUCCGGCCCCCCUCUCUGCUUCUACCCCUUUCCCUCUGCCUGCACGUGCUUCAGCCACGGGCCUUUCUGCCCAGCAAACUCAUUUACCUGGCAGCUCUUCCCACGGCCUGAGACGACCUGUCCCUGCUGAUGUGCUUACAGCAUGUCUCCCACAGCAGAUGCUGCCUCUGCGAGGGCGGGGCCCCUGACGUUCGCUGCCGUGUGCAUCAGGACCUGGGACGUCGUGCAUGCUUGUCCAGCUGGAACCCUGUGAAGAGUCCUGCCUUGCCCAGUCAGAAUGAUGCUUCCUGCCCGCAUCCGCCCAGGCCUCUCUUAGACGGGACGGUGGCCGGCUGUUAGUUGGGUCCUUCUCUCUCCUGGCUGCCACGUGAGAACAGAGCCAAAUCCUACCAAGAAGAAACCGCAGGGCGGUGCAGAUGCCCAGGGGGCUUCAACGGCCUGGCUCCGGAGGAACGGAUCCCAGGCUCUGUGCAAAAGGCCACCUCCUAAUUGGGCACCGGGACUUUCUGUGACAGGGGUCCCAGCCUCUCCCCGUAUCAUCCUCCCCACACCUUUCCAGGAAGGGUGAAGGAGUCAGAAUUAUGGACCCCGAAGAUGUCCACGUCUUAAUCGCUGGAGCCUGUGAGUGUGUCAUCACUUGGCAAGGGGGAAUUAAGGUCGCAGAUGGAAUUAAGGAUGCUAACGAGCAGACUCUGAAUAGGGACAUGGUCGUGGGUUAUCCCGUGGGCCCAAUGGAACCACAAGGGUCCUGGAAAACAGAAGAGAGAAGCAGAAGAGAGUCAGAGGGAAAGGCCACCACGGAAGAAUGGUCAGAGACGCAAAGUUGCUGGCUGCGAAGAUGGAGGAAGCAGGCCACAAGCCAAGGAAAGUGGGUGGUCUCCUGUAGCUGGAAAAGACAAGGAAGAGCUUCCAGAAAGGAACACAGCCCCGCCCACACCUUGAUCUUAGCCCAGCCAGACUCAUGGCAGCCUUCUAGCCUACAGAACUUAAAGAUAAUAAAUUUGUGUUGUUUAAGACUAAA